AACGAACGCUGGCGGCAGGCUUAACACAUGCAAGUCGAACGCCCGUAGCAAUACGGGAGUGGCGGACGGGUGAGUAACGCGUGGGAACGUGCCCUGAAGUACGGAAUAACUGCGGGAAACUGCAGCUAAUACCGUAUGAGCCCCGCAAGGGGGAAAGAUUUAUCGCCUUAGGAGCGGCCCGCGUCGGAUUAGCUAGUUGGUGGGGUAACGGCUUACCAAGGCUUCGAUCCGUAGCUGGUCUGAGAGGACGAUCAGCCACACUGGGACUGAGACACGGCCCAGACUCCUACGGGAGGCAGCAGUGGGGAAUCUUGCGCAAUGGGGGCAACCCUGACGCAGCCAUGCCGCGUGAAUGAUGAAGGCCUUAGGGUUGUAAAGUUCUUUUGCCCGUGACGAUGAUGACGGUAACGGGAGAAUAAGCUCCGGCUAACUUCGUGCCAGCCGCCGCGGUAAAAC
rnacentral:rRNA from 1 species